CAGCAUUACUGAUGGUAUUAAAGCUGCAGUCCACUAAGAUAAUGACUAAAGUGCAGUGUUGAGAGUUGUCAAUCAACAACCGGACAACAAUAAAGCAGUGAUUAAAGCAACUGCAGCCACUCAAGCACUGGCAUAAGCUAAAGCAACAACAAUAGAAUGAACUAAUUAAUAGGCCAUUAAAUGCAUCUAGUCUAAUUAUUUAGUGAACAACUAACAAAAUUAAAUCAGCAACUUUUUGCCCAUGUUUUUGUGACCAAUUAUAUGGAGACACAAGGCCAAGGAAAUAUCAAUUUGGUGCUGAUUUUGGUGAAUGUGAUUCAAUGUGGCGUGCUCGUCCUGACCACGUGAUUAUUCUUAACUUGUUUUCGGGAGACCUUUUGGAUUCUUUGACUCAUCUCAUAUUCCCACUCUGUAAAACCUAAAAAUACGUUACAAAUGCCUUUGAAUACGGUGCAGGAACUAUUUUAUUGAAUUACCGGGGAGGGUGUGUGUGUUAGCAGAUGCAUUCUAACAGGCUUACUUUAAUUUAUGGUCACUUAAACUAAUCCUUAAUGCAAAUUAUCUUUAACUUCGAGACUUGAGUCGCCACCCUACCCCCAGUCAAAAGCCCCCUCCCCAAAAAAACCUCUAUGCAGGCAGCAGGAGUCAGCUUACAGCAGUUUCAUACCUGCCCACCCCCUCCGCUGCGGGAAGGCCGGGUCUCCCUGCCUAUCGCGCUGCCUCUGAGCGACGGUGCGCCAGUGUGCCAACAGUCCGAGUGCGGCGCAGAGCGCAGCGUCACGCAUAGGCAGACAGUGCGUGUCAGAGACACAGAGGAUCUCCGCGGGGUUUCAGGGACAGCCGGAGUGGAUGAACGGAGCGACGAGGUGAUUGUUUGCUGGUGAGGACCACGCGUGCAGCAGCAGGACAUUUACCGGUAAUCCCUUCACUUUGAUCCAUAUUGUAAAGCGGGACCUCAUUUGUAAACUCCAUCUGCGGGUGUAUGUGAUAUUUAUCUUUAUGCCCCCGCAUACAUUUUUUUGUUGACUUGUUUUGUAAAAGUCUGAACUUGCAGACUCAACCUAUGCCUAAGAGCUAGAAUGACUCACAGCUCAUAAACACCUCCAAACGCUGCGUCAAACCUUCAUCAUCACGUGCAGGUUUCAACGCAAGCCUCUACGUAACCGACUCCCUACCUUAGAAAUUACAGUGUUGAGCAACUGUAAAAAUUGCUCCCUUUUCCUCCCAGGAAUCAUGUGGCCACGCACUAAUUUUCCAGCUGUAAUACAGCCGCCAUCGUGUUUGAUCCUCAUCCCGCACUUGCAGAUAAGAACACUUCCAGCUGAGGCCAGAGCCCAAGGGCACAGUGAUCAGUGCUGCUGCCUCUGUCUGGGGUGUUGACAGGAGCUCUGACAUCAUAAGAGUGACUAAAUGAAAUGCAAUUUUUAUGUUCGCCUUCUUGGUUCUUAGGAAGGGGAGCGGCCGUGUUAAUGCGGCACAGUGGGGAAAUCAUGUUGACUUAUUUAAAACGUGCCCAGAGAUGCAGUCCUAAAGAGCAAAGUAGCCACCACCCAAGCUAAGAUAAGCUAAACUAAACAAACCGCUUCGGUUAUCAACAUACUGAACACCCCACGAUUUGGGUUCCUCUUCCUCUUUGCGGGCUAUCCUGACUUUGUUUUUGUCGUUGGUUUGAGCCACAUCAGAGCAGCAGGUAGAUGCCACAGGGUACGUCACAGCGCAAGCUCACACGGAGCCUCUCGUGUGUUCCUUAUCACUCUAAAUUCAGCUGUACCGCAGCACUCGAGGCUCCGCGAUCCUGUGGAGUCUUGAAAGCGUCACAUUGUAUGUGGGAUGUCAAACAUUUGUCCUCCUCAAUUGC
ensembl:lncRNA